rnacentral:rRNA from 1 species
UAUGAACGCUGGCAGCGUGCCUAAUAUAUGCAAGUUGAGCUAACAGACGAGGAUGUUGCUCCUCUGACGUUAGCGGCGGACGGAUCAGUACCACGUGGAUAACCUACCUAUAAGACUGGGAUAACUUCGGGAAACCGGAGCUAAUACCGGAUAAUAUCUUGAACCGCAGGGUUCACUAGUGAAAGGCGGUUUUGCUGUCACUGAUAGAUGGCUCCGCGCCGCAUUAGCGAGUUGGUAAGGUAACGGCUUACCAAGGCAACGAUGCGUAGCCGACCUGAGAGGGUGAUCGGCCACACUGGAACUGAGACACGGUCCAGACUCCUACGGGAGGCAGCAGUAGGGAAUCUUCCGCUAUGGGCGAAAGCCUGACGGAGCAACGCCGCGUGAGUGAUGAAGGUCUUCGGAUCGUAAAACUCUGUUAUUAGGGAAGAACAAAUGUGUAAGUAACUAUGCACGUCUUGACGGUACCUAAUCAGAAAGCCACGGCUAACUACGUG